rnacentral:lncRNA from 1 species
UUUGUUUUUGAAAUGAUUCUCCUUUAAGCCAUAUUUACAUUAUCUUGUUAUCCCAAGACCAAAGGAUUUUUUAAACAAAGAUAAGCUUCAACUCCUAUCUUGUUUUACUCAUCAGUGAUCCUGAAUUACCAAAGACUUCUGUAUACUCAUGUUUCGAAUGCCAUGUAGGUCAGGAGUCAACUGGAAAAGUUGUUAGGCCGGUAUUUCUACGUCUCGCAUUUGUCAGCACUUGCCAAAACGGUGACGCAGCGGUGUGUUAUCUGCCGACAGCGUAAUGCGAGGCAAGUGCCAGCCGUUCCGCCCGGCAUACAAGCUUAUGGAGCAGCCCCCUUUGAAGAUCUCCAGGUAGACUUCACAGAGAUGCCAAAGUGUGGAGAUCUGAUUCCUAGAUUGGGACUGCCCUUACGGAUCAGCUCAGAUAACGGGCCUGCGUUUGUGGCUGACAGUACAGAAGAUGGCAAAGUCUUUUAGCACAUGUACCACCGCUAGAAUUUCCAGUAAAU